rnacentral:rRNA from 1 species
UGUAAGCGUAUACCAAAGUUGUUGCAGUUAAAACGCUCGUAGUCGGAAUUUGGCAGUUCCGGAUGUGUGCACGUCGUGUGCGCACUUCGCGGGGAUUGCUUUUGUGGUCUUGCGUAGGAUGAGGCACUUUUAUUAGUGAACGUCCUCACGCAACCACUUUUUACUGUGAGAAAAUCAGAGUGCUCAAAGCAGGCAUUUGCCGUGAAUGUAUUAGCAUGGAAUAAUAGAAUAGGACUUGGUUCUAUUUUGUUGGUUUGUUGGGACUGAGUAAUGAUUAAAAGGGACAGUUGGGGGCAUUUGUAUUUCGGUGCUAGAGGUGAAAUUCUUAGAUUACCGAAAGACAAACUGCUGCGAAAGCGUCUGCCAAGGAUGUUUUCAUUGA